UACGAAGGGGGCUAGCGCUGUUCGGAAUUACUGGGCGUAAAGCGCACGUAGGCGGAUCUCUAAGUCAGGUGUGAAAUCCCAAGGCUCAACCUUGGAACUGCAUUUGAAACUGGAGAUCUUGAGACCAGGAGAGGUUAGCGGAAUACCGAGUGUAGAGGUGAAAUUCGCAGAUAUUCGGUGGAACACCAGUGGCGAAGGCGGCUAACUGGACUGGUACUGACGCUGAGGUGCGAAAGUGUGGGGAGCAAACAGG
rnacentral:rRNA from 1 species